CCAAGCAUCAUCUCCCUGCUUAAAGGAAAACUCUCUAACUUCCAGGCAGCCAGCAAGAGAGUCUUUUCGGAGAACACAUGCACCCCCAAAAUAUUUAGCACACACAAACACACGCACACAGAGAAAGAUGCAGGUUCUAUAUAUAGUUUGUAUGAAUUCAAAGUUACUGUCGUUGGGAGAAGGAACUGAAAUUUCCUGAUCAUCAACGGUUUAUCUGCACUGUUUUAUUAAAUGCAUCAAGAAGAAAAAGAAGACUCAAUCAUUAAGCAUCCUCGUUAGGAUUUCCUUCCUCCCACCUUUGAAGGAUGAUCGGCGUGGAAACCUACUUUAAAACCUGGAAGAUGCCUUCUGAAUGAAUGGAACAGCCCGGAGGACUCUUGAAAGGAAAGAAUCUGAAGUUGGGCCACUUGGUCUGCUCUUUGCAACAUGUCUUGUCCACUUCUCUAUCGAACAGAAGACCGAGUCGCUUUUCUUUCUCUUUUUAAUCCCUCCCUCUCUUUUUUAUUUAAGAACUUGAUUUGAAGCAGGAAACAGAAAUGAGCUUUGGCAUACUUUGGCGGCAAAGACAUGGAAACAAAGUAAAUGCUGUAGACUGGGGCAUUGCUAAACAUGCUGUGAUACAUGAAGGUAAUGGAACAUAGCUGGGCUAUAAGAAACGAUGAGUAUGAUGAAUACAGAGAAGCAUCAGAAGACACAUCAACCGAUGCAAAAAAAAAAAAAAAAGUCAACAGAGGCAGAACACAGAAAAUGCAAUGACUAUACAAACAAGAACAACAAAACUAUUGCAACUGAAUGCUAUAAAAUGAUGGUCCCAAAGGAAAAUUGGAAGAAUAUAUCUCCUUUUCUUCUUUGAUAUGGUCAAGGGGCUGAAAUAUUGUAUAAUAUCAUCUGUGGUUGAUGUUUUACUGAAAUGUGUCUUUUCUCUCUUUUAUUCUUUGUAAUAGGAAAUGGCUCUAUGGAAAAGAGUACAAAAUGGUAUUUUGGAAAUUUAUAUGACAUAAAAAUCAAAAUUGUUAAUGAAAAAUUUGGUAUGUCAAAACAUUUGAAUAAAUAUAAAGCCUUAUACAAGUAUAAAAUAUUAAUAGCAACAUGUUUAAACUGCAAGGGACUUCUUUAUAUCACUGAAUCACUUUAUGCAGGGAAUGUUUGAAUUUGGAUAGCUGUCUAUAGGUGCCCAUAGAGUACUGUCCAUAUAAGAUAUGUCUAUAAUACCACCACAAAAUAGCUUAAAAUAUAGACUACUAACUGAGUAUAUGGUCUGUCUGACCCCUAAGAAUAAAUUGACCAACUGUCAUAAAUUAUUUAUUAAUUUUGGGUCUUUUCUUUUCUGUGACUGGAAAUGUGAUCCUGAGGAAACAAAUUUUCAUUUCUAAUAAUGCGUAUGUAACAUUUUAAGUCAUAUGAUUAAUUAUCUUAUUUUUGAUUAGGUAUCAGUUUGUUUUCAAAAUUUAUUUCAUACAGGGUUCUGGUAUUUUGAGUGUAUAAUUUAUGUCACCUGGUUUAUCUGAGUUCUUUGGGUCUGUAGAUAACUACUAGUAGAAUUAAAUUUAUUAGGAAAUUUUAAAAAAUGUCAUUUGAAGUCAUUUGAUGUCUCUAGGACACAUUGGCAAAAUUGGCAUUGACAAAAUGAGAGAAUUGAAGCAGAAAUAUUGGCUGUCUUCUACAAUUCUAUGUGUGACAUCGAGCAUAUAAAUAGAUGAGUUGACAUUCUUCAGUAGCAAAGUAGCUGGGUGGCACAAUAGAUAGAAUACUAGACCUAAUACUAGUAAUUAUUGAGCCCUAAUCUGGCUUCAGAUAUUUACUAGCUGUGUAAUCCUGAGCAAAUCACUUCACAUCUGUCUGCCUCAGUUUCCUCAUCUGUAAAAUGGAGUUUGUUGUAAGAAUAAAGUAAGAUAAAUUUAAUAUUAUUUAAGAUAAUAAUAUUUAAAGUGCUUUUCAACCUUAAAGUAUUCUGUGAAUAUUAAUUAUUAUUACUAGUGCAGGAAAUUAUCACACUGGGAGUUCUCUACACUUUAUUACUACUUUGUUCCUUCAAAUAUAAAUACAUAUUUAUCGAAUUUUUUUUCUGACAUAGAACAAGAUUGUCUCAAACAGAAUUUGAUUGGCUCAAUUUUUAACUGCUCUUAAGCCUUUAGAAUUUGUAGGGAUUUAAUUUCUUUUCUAAAUACCUGUUCUGUAAUUAUGAAGUAAUGAUUCUGGACUAGAAAAAAAUUAGUAUGACCAUGGAAAGAAGUUUCCAAUGAUUUUUUUUCAAAUUUUAAUGUUGGCUGAUGUUGCCUGAGAUGGAAGUAAAAAAUAUAUAUAUAUAUAAUUAAAGUGAUAGACAAUUGCUAAAAAUAUGAACUGCUGAUAGAAGUUAAUGUCUACAAUGGAAAAGACUAAAAGACUAGUCUAAUCAUGUUUGCUUUAAUGAAGACCCAAAAAAGCAGCAUGGUAUAGUGGGAAAAUGGUAGAUUUGAAGUUCUUAAGUAUCUCAGUUCCAAAGUGACUGUUGCCUUAUUAACUGGGAGCAAAUCACUUAAACUCUCGAGUCUUGGAUUUGGAAAGUAAGGAAAAUACAUGUUCUGCAAACUUCUGAGGAUUGUUGUGAAUGUGAAAUGUAAUACUGGGCAUGACCAAGAUUUGCAAAUUGUAAAAUACAUAAAUAUCAUUAUUGAAACUACUAGUGUUUGUUAGUAGUUGUACUCAACUUUUCAUAAUCAUGCUCAAAUUUCCUACAAUUUAUAUUUAGAAACUCCAAUCGGACCAGGACCAAUCAAUAUCAUGGAAAGAGCUUUAGUUUAGGAUUGAGAAGACUUAUAAAUUGAAUCCCAAUUCAUGUAUUCACUGAUGUGUGACUAGAAAAAUCACCCAAUUCCUCUGAACUCUAGUGUCUGUCUUUUUUAAAACAGAGCUAAUAAUACUUUCUUUGGUAUCACUGUGAUGAUGAAAUGAGAUAAUAUAUGGAAGUAUUUUGUAGACUGUAAAAUGCUAUGCUGAUAUAAAAAAUUAUUCUUAUUUAACAUAUUUAGUUGUUUUUCAGUUGGGUUUGCUCUUCAUGACCCCAUUUGGGGUCAUUUUGACAAAGAUACUGGAAUGGUUUGCCAUUUCUUUUUUCUAGCUCAUAUUAUAAAUGAGGAAACUAAGGUAGACAGAGUUAAGUGACUUGUCUGAGGUCAGAAAUGAACUCAGGUCUUUAUGAUUUCAGGCCCAUAUAACCAGCUGCCCUCUUGAGUAUUUAAAAAAUGAAAAUAUCUAACCUAUUUUAGUAAAUCUAUAGGGGGAGAAACAGAAGGUAUAAUUUCUAAAGAAUGAUCUAAAUGAAAACAGUGAUAACAGUUCCCCAUCUAUUUAGAUAUGAUUGUAUUCUCCCAUUCCUGUACUAAGUGAAGAAAAAAAGUAUUCUUUUUUAGUCAUUAAAGAUUGUGAAAUUUUUGAAAAUUUGUGAACAGAGGGUCUCUUCAAAAAACUUGGGAUAGAGCAGUAGAAAACUUCAUGUUGUCUAGGCUUUUCUUUCUUCCACCAUUGUCCUACCAAGUGUUUCUUCCCUGGUUUUGAAGGGUUUGCAUCUAUAACACAAAUGACUGCUUUUGGCAGAGGAUAUAGACCUAGGGGAAAGAUUGUGGUAUUAAGAUUAAAAAAACUUGGGCUUGACUCCUGGCUUUUAGGCAAGUCAUUCAAGCCUCAGAUUCUGUUUUCUUAUCCGCAUUUGGGUUUUUGACUAUAUACAGUUGGCUUUGGACUCAGUGCUCUCUAAGGUUGCUUCCACUUCAACAUUCCAAUGAAUCUACUGUUGUUAUACUUGAUUAAUUUGUGUGAUGUCAUAUGAAAAUUGCCCAAUUAUUUAACCCGGAAAAUCAGGCCAAAAUUAAACACCACAAAUAAUGCUAUCUUGUUUAUUUUCCCUCAGAUUUUAGGAGAUAGCACUAAACCAGACUUCUUGAAUUACUUUCUUUGUUUUCAUUGUGAAAGAAAAGGAAGAAUAUUAGAAAUGAAGUCAAACCCAUUUGCUAUUUAUGGGAAGAGGUGGUAAGAUCUUCACUAAAGACCUAUGUAGCAUGCUUUUCAUGACACAUAAUUGGUACAGCAUAUAUUCCAUAUACUGAUAUAUUAUAAAAAUGAAUUAAUGACCAGAUUUCUUAGGUGGGUAUUAGCAGGCUACCACACAGAAAACACAAAAGUAAGCAAAAUAAGGAAUGCUAUCACAGAAGUAUAUAACAGUUCAAAAAAUAAAUUGAUCAUACAGUCACAAUUCACAUACUCCAUUGGCAUCCAUGUGAUGAUACUAAGAUGAUGACCAAAAGACUCCCAAAACAUUUGCAGAUGCCUUGUGGUAGAUUUUCAUAAAUAGUUUACACUAGAUGGGCAGCCAGUGAUAGUAUGUAAUAUGUAUCCUUGGGGAAGGUAAUCACAUUACCAAGAUCAUAGAUGUUUUGAGUUUUGAAGUUAAAAAAGCCAUUGGACUUGGCUUCUCUUUGUGCUUUGAAGAUAAAGGAUAGUUUAAAAAUAAAGUUAUUCUAUUUAUGAGUGCCUCAUUGGGUGACCAACUUAUAGUUUCCCAUGUCAAAAUAAACUAGGAAGGUGGUAAGACUUCCUUGGUGGGGCGGAAGGAAGAGGGAAAAAUUAUUGAUUAAAAUUAUCUUAUUGUUUUAAGACACUAAUUUCCAGAAAGGUUCUAUUUACAAUGUGCAUUUCAGAACUGAAGGGUGCAAUAUAUUUAGACAAGAACACCCAGUUACUGAUGCAUCACUCUAGGUUAAUUAAUUAGAUUCAUUCAUUUGGUUUUACUAAGCAGAAACAGAGUCUCUUCAAGCCCUAUUGAUCUCCCUUCUUCUGAACCAAGGUAUAUUUAAUACAUUUGACAUUUUAAUUAUGAAUAAUUGUGCUGUUUUCUAAUCACUUCAUCUUUUCUUUUGUCUUUGUAUAACUGAAUUUUAAACUCCUUAAGGACAGGGUACUUGAUACACUUUUCCAAUAUCCACCAGAAUUGCUGUGAGUUCUUAUUAAAUGUUAGAUACUAGAUGUAAAGAUGAGCAAUGAUAUCAUCCUUGGACUCAAAGAUCUUUACAGUCUUUGUGGGAUGAGUAACAUAUACCUAUAAAUAAUUAUGGUGCCAAAAAUGUCAUAAACCCCAAAGAGAGCCCCCAAAUGCAAUGAGAAAUUUGAGGAGUGUAUUACUUCCUCCAUGCCCUUCCUUUCCUUUCUCAGGCUCAAGCCUUCAGCAAAGGAUUGAGAACAUACUCUAGCAGAUAUUUCAUAAGAACUUUUUGACUAAGGAGCAAGUAAAUUUUGAGUCAGGGCUGAAGUGGAGACCCAGGGAGUUGGGGAUGAAUAAGUACAAGGGAAAGAACAUUUAAUUUGGAAUCAGAGGACCUAGGUUCAAAUUACAGCUAAACUAUUCUUUAUAACUGUUGAAAAGUCAUAUAAUCUGUUAAGACUCAGUUUCCUCAUAUGUAGAAGGAGGAUGUUAUAUAACAGCUAAGGUUCCAUCUAGAUCUAAGUAUAUUAUGAUCACAUAAUCCUGUGAUCCUAAGAUUUUCAACCUCAUGGAAUCAGAGACUUUAAGUAAUGUUCCCAAUGCUCUCCCCCAAGUUCACAUAUAUAUUGCUGAACUCUGGGGAGAGCAGACUCCAGGUAAGAAGCACCUGAAGCCAAGCACAGACUUCAAACCUUGUCUUCUCACUCCAAAUCUCAUGCUAUUUAGAUUACAUAUUGUAAUCCAUAUAUAAUUCAAUCCUCAGUUCUUGACUGAGGGUGGACCUGAGUGACAUGCUAUUUUGAGGAGGUUUAAUUAGCUUUGGGAAAACAUAGAGAGAAUGAAAAUCUAGAAUAUUUUGCCUCCUACUUCUGCCUUGUCUAACUUCCUUUUCACAUCUCAACUCAGCUCCUUUCCAUAACCUCCAAGUUGCUUAGUACUUUCCCUAGCAUCUCUGAAAAUGACUUUUUCUAUAUUUUAUCAUUAAUCACUUCUUUUCAUGUAUCACCACUCUUCUCAAAAGAAUCCAAACAUGAAGGCAGGAAUGGGUUAAUUUCUAUCUUUUUACACCUAGCACUUAGUAAUGCUUAGUAUGUAGGAGGCACUUAAUUAACCUUUGUUGAAUGAAUGAAUGUGGCAACACAUUGCCAGGAGUAAGAUUUCAUUUACUAGUUUCUCUUGUUCCUGAGUUAGACUGAGACAAUAUGAUAUAGUGAAAAAGAGUUCCUCAUCCUCAGUUUCCUCAUCUGUGAAAUGAGAAUGUAUGACACUAAGGCCUAUGAAGUCCCUUUCAGCUCCAGAUCUAUAAGUCUAUCAUGCCUGUCAGUCUUGUGUUCAGUAGAUCUGAGUUCUAAUGCUGGUUCUGACGCUUAUAGCUGUGUCUUAUUGUGCUUAUCCAUGUAAAGGGCUGAAACUCUUGAGUUGAUGCACUGAGGAGGGAAAACUGAGCACUUAAGGCUAACUACCGGUUGGACAAUACUCUAUUAGCACAUGCUUAGAAAAUUGCCCUUCCCACUAUUCUGUGCUGGCUUGAUAAUCUGUGUAUCCAGAGAACUGUAGGAGGGACUAGGGGAUGGAGUAAGACUAGCCAGAGUCACUUUUGAGUGGAAGACAAAGAGGUGAGGUCGUGGAGAUUCUGCAUCCAUCAAUUCACUUCUACUCCUAAAGACUAAGAAUAAAGACCAAGGACUUUUGCUUAUCCUGACUCCAGCUGAUUCUAAGGUAUCCAGGGUGCUAACUCGGUCUUCACAUAUCUAGGUCUCAGUUUUCUCAUCUAUAAAUUGAGGCAAUUAAUACAAUCCUGAUCCAUAUAUCUGAAAGGGUUAAUGCAAAAAAGUCCUUUUAAAGUCUUCCAGCCCUUUGUCAGUGUGAGCUGUCAUUACUUUUAGGCUGAACUUUCAUCCUCUAUAAUGUGAUGAAAAAAUAUUUUCUAGGAUUUAAAAAAAUAUGGGGAAAGGAAUCCAUAUCUAAUUCCUAUUUUUUAUUGGAAUGUUCUGGAAUAUUAUUUUCUUGUUGCUCCCCACUCCCCCAUAAGUAAUUGGGAUAUCCCUUGGCUUCUCUUGUAACUUAAUGUGCCUUUGCUUUUCACCCCCUCACUCUUCAGGGUAUUGGACCUUUUGCUUUUAUUAUUUGGGUUUUGACUGAAGCCUUGUCAGAUUUCAGUUAUUACUUUACAUUAAAAAAGACGUUUUAAAAGUGGUCCAAGUCAGAAUUAUGGAAUAUGUGUAGGGCUUUAUGGUUUUCUUCUCUCUCUCUCUCUGUCUCUCUCUCUCUCUCUCUCUCUCUCUCUCUCUUUUUCUCUCUCUCUCUCUUUCUCUCUCUCUCUCUCUCUUUCUUUUGUAAAGUGUGAAGUUUGGCUUGCCCACAUUCAGUAGGUAAAGGAAUAUAAAAAGCCACAUGGCUGCCUAUAAGCCAGUUUGCAAAAAUUAAUGCCAAAUUAUCUUUGGAAAUUACUGGCACAGCUGUGGUUUUCAGUAAGGCUUCAACCCACGACUGCUGACUUAAACUUUUCAUUUCUUAUAAAAAAACAGUUUAGAAGUGUUAAAUUACUCUUGAUUUUACUUUUUUCAAGUCCAUAAAAAUAAAUGUGAAACAUUGGGUCUUCAUUGAUGAAGCAUUAUUAGAUAUUUCUAUGCUCUCUGAAAUUGUUGAAGGACGUAAUUUAAAUUUGUGUCAUAAGGCAAAAGAGUAAAUCUUAAUAUUUAUGAGAAACUUUUUUUUUUCUGAGGUAAUUGGGGUUAAGUGACUUAAGCAGGGUCAUACAGCCAGUACAAGUUAGGUAUCUGAGAUCAGAUUUGAACUCAGGUCCUCCUGAAUUUAGGGCAGAUGCUCUAUCCACUGCACCAUCUAGCUGCCCCCUAAGACAAACAUUUCCAAGCACUCACAUCUUAACAGAAGUACAGUGAUCAGGAUUUUACCCCAGAGUAGGAAUUCAAAGGACCUUGACAUUUCUUAAAGUUCUGUCAUGCACUGGGAUCAGUUCUUUCUCCACCUUUCUUUUUUUUUUUCACCAUCUUCCCCCUACUCUUUACCUCUUUCUUUGUCCUAGGGCCACUGAGACAGCUUCCUACCAGUUUCCUGGCUCUGUUUUCUGCAUUGAGGUGAUGUCCUGCCCCCUCAUUUCAUCUGUAGAGGCCUUUUGGAACACUUAUCUUGGCUGCAAAAAAUUUCAACUUACAGUUCUCCUCAACAAUUUCUACAUUUAUGGUGUUGGAUUAGUUGUGGAAGAUACAAGGUUACAUAAGAGAGAGUCCCUGCCUUCAAUAAGCUUACAAUUCAGUAAGGAAGGUCAAACCUUUGCCUGGGCUUCUUACUUGCUUCUGUGUCAUAGAGUCCUUUUGGCAGUUUGAUGAAGCUUGUAGGUAUUUACUCAGAAUAAUGUCUCAAAUGCAUAAAAUAAAAUGCACAAGAUUACAAAGGAAACCAUAUUGAAAUACAGUUUUCAACAUAUAUCAAUAUAUGUAUAUCCAUUUAUACACAUAUUUAAAAUGCACAUAUAUGUGCAUGUGUAUAUACAUACAUAUAUGUAUAAGUAUGUGCAUAUAUAUACACAACAUUCAUCCUAUUUAUCUAUUUAUUGAUAUUCACAGACUCCUAGUUAAAAAGUGGUAUGAAACAAACUUAUAAUAAAAUGACGAAUAUGAUACAUACUAUCGGAGGGAUAGAUAAAAUGUGUUAGAUGAGCCUAGAAGAGAGAAAGCUUUUAAUUUAUGAAGAAACCAUGGAGAAGAUGGCAUUUGAUUGGUCUUUGAGGAAUGGUUAAGAAUUAGAUAGAAGGAAAUGGGAGAGAAGGCAUUCAGAGAAAAUAGCAAAAGUGUGACAAAUGCAAGUAUUUGCAUUAUAGCAAAUGAUCCAUUUUAUCGAAUCACAGAAGUAUGUAUAGAAAGGAAAGUAGGAAAGGCUUGAAAGGUCAUUUGGUGAUCAGUUUUGAAGGCGCUUGACUGCCAGCCAGGAUAUAGAGUUCUGUAGGAUAUUGGAUAUUCUUUCCAGAGUUUUAGAACAGUGUAAUGGUAUGCAUAGAACUUGGUCAUGAAAACCUUUUAAAGAGGUAAAUGUAUGAUAAUUUCUAUUUAAAGAUCAUAAUAUAGCAGAACAGUAGGUAUAAAAUGGUCCCUUGGAGUCAAGAAGACCUGAAUUCAAAUCUUUGACACUGUAGCUAUGGGAUUGUGAACAUAUCAAUUGAUCUCUGUGGCUUAGUCAAUUCUCCAGGACUUACUAAGUUAUAGCCAGGUUAUGAUUUGUGCCAGGUAGGGCUGUUCUCAUAUCCACAACUGCACAAAUCCUUAACAUAGGUUCAAAGAAAGUUAAAUAAGCCCUUUUUUGUGAGGUCCAGCCCAUUGCUUCAAAACUUUUAGUGCUUUAUUCAAUAGUUUAGAAAUGAGAAAGUAUGGCUCAGUGAAAAGAGAUUAAGAAUCAGGAAGCCCAUGUUAAACCUUGCUUUCCCACUGACUACUGUGUGGGACCUUGUGUGACUUUGCCUAUCUCCCUUGGGCCUGUUUUGUCAUCAGUAAAAUGAGGGGGUUGGAGCAGAUGACCUAUUAGGUUCUUUAUAGCUCUAGAUUUUUUAUUUUUAUUUCAACAAAAGCUCUGCAUUUUCAUAACUGCAUUUUCAUAAAUCCACACGAUCAGGUCAGCUCUGCACCACUUAUGGUAGCAUGGCUUUGAACAGCUUAUUUAAUUUCUCUGGUCCUCAGUUUGUCUCAUCCAUAAAAGGAGGAGAUUGAGUGAAAUGACCAUUGAGAUUCCUUCAAACUUUAAAAUUCUGGUUAACUUCAAGAGAUCCAUCAUUACAAGAUAUUAUGCACAUGAUGAUAUUUUGGGCAGUGUGUCAAACAGAGUUAACAUAUCUAUGUGGCCAACGGGAUCAUUAUCUUCAUUCACUGGAGAAAGAAGUUGAGAUACAUAUAAGAGAUUUCAUCAAUUCUCAUUUAUUGAGCAUCUGUUGGGUGCAUGGUAGUGCAUUGUAGUGGGCACUCUGUCUUGGCUAAAAGAUUAGCCCAAGAUAAUAAUGUAAUCCAUCACCACUAGGAAGCCCAUGGCUCAUUUACCACGCAACCCAUAUUAUGAUGUGCAAUCUGUUAAUUUGUAAAUUGUUUUCUUUAAAGUACAUCAAUUUGUCAGUUAUUACACAUAAGAGGGUUUGGAUUUUAGGUCUUGUCGUACUAUCACAUCACAAAUUAACUUGUAGAGAUUUGUCUUCUGGAAUUAAUCUGUAACCAAUACAGAAAUUUAUUAUUUAUCACAAGGGACAGAUUCAGAAUCAUGGUAAGUAUUGUUAAAUCAAUACCUAGGUAAUAUAUUGAAAUUUUUCUUAAAGUCUUAAACUCUGUGAAGACUAAUAGUUUGAUUUUACAUUUGGAAUCCUCUCAUAGUUCAAAAAGGUUGAAGUCUAUGAAUUCCUGAGAUAGUUCCCUUGUAACAAACAAUGAAUUAUGGUUGCUCUGGACAAUGAAUUAUGAUUGCUCUCCUUUCUCUUUUCUGGAAAUAUCUAUGUUUCAUUCUAGAAUUUUCCCGUGGGGCAUUGCAUUAGCCAAACACUCCAUCGACAUUGAUAAGGACUAAGCUCAGGAAAGGAAGAUUUAGUGGUCAGGCAAAGAGACAUCUUAUGUAACAAAAGAGAGGUUUUUUUUUUAAAGAUAACUUUUAAAAAUUUAUGACAAAUAUUACUCAAUAACAACUUAAAAAAGAAAAGAAAACCUACUUAUUUAGAUUCAAUUUUCAUAUCUAUGUAAGGAGACUCUCAGUUUUCUAUACCUAUUCCUGACCUAACCUCCAAUUCUGUAUCACAAGGUGCCCAUAUCUGAGACAGAACUCUGAAACUUUUACAACUUCUAAAUUUCUCCAUCUCUGUAACUUCUCUAUCUAUUGUAUCUUUAUUCUCUCCUUUCCACUCAUAGGGCCUCCAGCCCAAUUAAGGUUCCCAUCACCUCUCACCUAGCAAAUUAAGACAGAUUGGUUUUUACAUUUGCAAAUAAAAUUUUGUUUCAUUUAUAAAUGUAAAAGCCAUUUGCAGCUCACUAGCUAUACAAAACGAUGGGGCAGACAGAAUUUGACCCUAUGGCCAUAAAUUGUCAGUCUCUGGCCUAAACUGGAGUCUUCUGAUAGGUCUCCCUGCCCCAAGUUUCUUCCCACUCUAAUCCACCCUCAGCUCACCUGCUAAGAUGAUUUUCCCAAAGCACAAGUCUGUUUUAUUCUUGUAAUCAGUAAGCUUGAAUGACUCUCUCUAACUUCCAGGAUCAAAUAUAUAUUUCCCUAUUGGACAUUUAAAGCCUUUUAAAUCUAUCCCUAACCUAUCUUUCCAGCCUUCUCCACCCCCCAACAUUAUUCCCUUUAUAUGCUUUGUGAAAGGUCAAAUUAGCUUUCUCACUCUUUCUUACCCAUAGCAUUCUUUCUCUAUUUCUUUCUUACCCAUAGCAUUCUUUCUCUAUUUUCUGUUCUUUUCCACUGUCUGUCUUUUCCUCGUACUUGGGAUGCAUUUCUUCUUCCUAUCCAUCUUUUAGAAAUCCUAGUGUCUUUCAAGCCCACAUUCUUUAUGUGGCCUUUCUUAAUCCAUCUCAAGCCCUUGUUACCAUCUUCCCAAUUCUUUCCAAAUCACCUUGUCUCUUAUUGUGUGUAUGUCCAUAUUUAUAUUUAUAUCCACACCCAUUCAUCCAUCCUCAUCUGUCUGUCUCUCCAGCUAUCUAUGUACAUGAUGUUUCCUUCAACAAGACUAUACAUUUUUUGAGUGCAGGAACUAUUUUGCUUUUGUCUUUAUAUCUCCAUUGCCUAAGACUUGCCUAAUACAUGGCAUUUGCCCGGUAUAUAGUGGGUACUUAAUAAAGACUUGUUGAUUGAUUACUUGAUUAAAGGUUUAGGAACCUGAUUCUCCUUUGUUAGUGUCUGAGAGG
rnacentral:lncRNA from 1 species